GAAGCUAACGCGUUAAGUGAUCCACGUGGGGAGUACGCUCGCAAGGGUGAAAUUCAAAGGAAUUGACGGGGGCCCGCACAAGCAGUGGAGCAUGUGGUUUAAUUNGAUGCAACGCGAAGAACCUUACCUAGGCUUGAAAAGCUCUCUAAACCGGUGAAAGCCGGGUACCCGCAAGGGGGGGAGUACAGGUGCUGCAUGGCUGUNGUCAGCUCGUGCCGUGAGGUGUUUGGUUAAGUCCAGCAACGAGCGCAACCCCUAGAUUCAGUUACCAGCGAGUAAUGUCGGGAACUCUGGAUCGACUGCCUACGCAAGUAGUGAGGAAGGUGGGGACGACGUCAAGUCAUCAUGGCCCUUACGCCUAGGGCUACACACGUGCUACAAUGGCAUCUACAACGCGCUGCAAUACCGUGAGGUGGAGCGAAUCGCUAAAAAGAUGUCUCAGUUCAGAUCGGAGUCUGCAACUCGACUCCGUGAAGUUGGAAUUGCUAGUAAUCGGGGGUCAGCACACCCCGGUGAAUACGUUCCCGG
rnacentral:rRNA from 1 species